UACGUAGGUGGCAAGCGAUACUCGGAAUCACUAGGUGUAAAGCGCAGGUAGGAGGUUUGGUAAGUCUGUUGUGAAAGCUCCCGGCUUAACUGGGAGAGGUCAACGGAAACUACUAGGCUAGAGUGCGGUAGAGGUAGCUGGAAUUCCCGGUGUAGCGGUGAAAUGCGUAGAUAUCGGGAGGAAUACCUAUGGCGAAAGCAGGCUACUGGACCGUCACUGACUCUGAUCUGCGAAAGCUAGGGGAGCAAACAGG
rnacentral:rRNA from 1 species